rnacentral:rRNA from 1 species
UACGGAGGAUGCGAGCGUUAUCCGGAUUUAUUGGGUUUAAAGGGUGCGUAGGCGGACUGUCAAGCCGGCGGUCAAAUCGCGGGGCUCAACCCCGCCCAGCCGUCGGAACUGCCGGGCUAGAGUGGGCGAGAAGUGCGCGGAAUGCGUGGUGUAGCGGUGAAAUGCAUAGAUAUCACGCAGAACUCCGAUUGCGAAGGCAGCGCACCGGCGCCCUACUGACGCUCAGGCACGAAAGCGUGGGUAUCGAACAGG